rnacentral:lncRNA from 1 species
GUGCAGAUGGAGGAUCAGCCAGGCUCGAUGAUGGUCAAGUUUAAAAAGCAACUUUAAAUACGUUUUAUUUAUUUUGUUUCCGUGAGGUGUAAUCUGUCCCUUUAUUGACUAUGCACACAAAUCCAUCUCAAGUUCUCACCCUAUCACUGCAGCGCUAAUUAAAGAAACUAAAAUCUCAACACCACAGCGGAAGGAGAAAAAGACGAGGCGCGUUCUCGCAGCAAAGCUGGUGCCACGGCACCUGGCAUCAUGUUUACCGGUGGCUGCCGGCUAUUCGGCGCCGCGCUGUUUCUACAGCUAAAAUUUACCUAAAAUGCGGACCCGCGAAAGGGGUGGACUACUUAUGUUGGUAAACAACGACACAGUCGCUGUGACUGCCUUCAUUUUGGCAACAGUAUUAAUCGUCCUGAGAAGAUCCCUUCGCAAGAUGGUGAUCUUGUGCAUCAUCUUCCCAAGUAUGCCGAUGCUGACCCUGGUUGCCAUCAACAGUCUUCGUCCUGGGGCCGAGUUGCUGACGAGUUUGAUGGUGAUUUCAACCAUCAGCUACUUCCGACGCAAAUUGUUUUACAACUAGAAGAAAGCCGCAUAAAAAUGCCGACGUUUAUUUACUAUUUACAAGACAUGCAGUAGGAAGAAAAAAAUACUGCACAAACAAUACAUAUUGUCAAAAUUAACAGAAAUGAACAUUUAUGCCACUUAAAAGAUCUCAACGUGAUUCAUUGUCUUUUUGUACAGGUUACACAAACAAAAACAAUUUGAACAUGAACUUUUGUACAGUGUAAUGGCAUCAUUGCAGGACAUCUGCCAAGGGAAGAAGGUUUUGAUAAACGCCUGGCUGAAUUGUCCAAAUGAAGAAAGAGGCCAGGCAGCUAGAGGCCAAGGUAACUUCAAGGGCGACCAUAAAACACCAGACAGCAACUCAGUUAACAAGGGAACAUAGAGGACUGGUGUGUGUCGGGACAAACGGCACUUGUACAGCUUGUGCCGAGGAACGCCUGCAUCUAUUUCGUAGCUAACACCAGUUGCUGUAAGGUUCCUGCUCAAUCGGGGGCAUGCCAUAAGUUAAUAGGAGCAAGACUCUUACAUCACAGGUAAAUAUACAAAUAUACAAGACAUAGAAAUCAUUAAAAUGAAGAGUAGCCUCUCCUUUGGAAAGUCCCUUUGUUUUCUGCAGCAUUAGCUGAAACAUGAGAUGAAUUUUUGCACCUUCGAUUGCCAGCCAACCUGACGGCACACAUGAACUGAAACAAGUGUCCAAUAUGACAGCAGCUGCCACAACAUUAACACUGACUCUGUACUGAACACAACAGUGAAAA